rnacentral:rRNA from 1 species
AUAUUGGACAAUGGGCGCAAGCCUGAUGCAGCCAUGCCGCGUGUGUGAAGAAGGCCUUCGGGUUGUAAAGCACUUUCAGCGGGGAGGAAGGCCUGUAGGUUAAUACCCUGNUGGAUUGACGUUACCCACAGAAUAAGCACCGGCUAACUCCGUGCCAGCAGCCGCGGUAAUACGGAGGGUGCAAGCGUUAAUCGGAAUUACUGGGCGUAAAGCGCGCGCAGGUGGUUGGUUAAGUCGGAUGUGAAAUCCCCGGGCUCAACCUGGGAACUGCAUUCGAAACUGGCAAGCUAGAGUCUGGUAGAGGGGGGUGGAAUUCCAGGUGUAGCGGUGAAAAUGCGUAGAGAUCGGGAGGAACACCNGUGGCGAAGGCGGCCCCCUGGACAAAGACUGACACUCAGGUGCGAAAGCGUGGGGAGCAGACACA